rnacentral:lncRNA from 1 species
GCACACACACUUUUGUUCCAUUGAUGGGUACUCUGGAUUUUCUCAAAUACCUCUGUCAAAAGAGGACCAAGAGAAAACCACCUUUACUUGUCCUUUUGGAACUUAUGCUUAUAGACGUAUGCCUUUUGGUCUAUGCAAUGCACCUGCUACCUUUCAUAGAUGUACGACUACUAUAUUUUUUGACAGUUGUGAAUAGAUUGUUGAAGUUUUCAUGGAUGAUUUCUUUGUUCACAUGACUUGUUUUGAUGAUUGCUUAAGCAACCUUGAUCGAGUGUUGCAGAUAUGUGAAUAAACUAAUCUUGUCUUGAAUUGGGAGAAGUUCCACUUUAUGGUGAACGAAGGUAUAAUGCUUGGGCAUAAAAUUUACGAACGAGGUAUUGAGGUGGAUAAAACCAAAGUUGAUGCAAUAGAGAAAAAGCCUUGUCCAAAAUAUAUCAAAGGCAUAAGAAGUUUCCUUGGUCAAGUUGCUUUCUAUAGACGUUUCAUUAAAGAUUUCUCAAAGAUUUAUAGGCCAUUAACUACUUCUUCAAAAAGAUGCUGCUUUUAUUUUUGAUGAGGAUUGUGAAGAAGCCUUUGAAAUACAUAAGAAAGCCUUAAUUUCUGCACAGAUCGUUCAACCACCUGAUUGGAAUUUACCCUUUGAAUUUAUGUGUGGUGCUAGUGAUUAUACUAUUGGUGCUGUCCUAGGGAAACAAUAGAUAAGAAACGUAAUGCUAUUCAUUAUGCUAGUAAGACCCUAGAUACUACUCAAAGAAAUUAUGCUACUACUGAAAAUGAAUUUUUAGCAGUUGUGUUAGCGUGUGAUAAAUUUAGACCUUACAUUGUUGAUUCCAAAGUAACUAUUCAUACUGAUCAUGCUGCUAUUAAAUACCUCAUGGAAAAGAAAGAUGUUAAGCCUAGACUCAUGAGGUGGGUGUUUUUACUUAAAGAGUUUUUUUGCAUAUCGUUGAGAGAAAGGGGGUUGAUAAUCCUCUAGUAGAUAACUUAUCUAGAAUGGAAAAUGUUCUUGAUGACCCACUAACGAUUGAUGACAAUUUCCCUCAUGAGCAACUAGCUGCUGUUAGCACUUCUCGCAGCUCUCCUUGGUAUGCUGAUUAUGCUAACUUUAUUGUGGCAAAAUAUAUUCCACCUAGCUUCACCUAUCAAAAAAAUAAAAAAUUCAUUAUGACUUAAGGCAUUACUUUUUGGAUGACCCACAUCUUUAUAAAGAAGGAGUUGAAGGUAUUAUUAGACGUUGUAUACCUGAGCAUGAACAUGAACAAAUCUUAAGGAAUGCCAUUAUGAAGCUUAUGGAGGACAUCAUGCUGGUGACACAACGACACACAAGGUACUACAAUCUGGUUUUUAUUGGCGUACUCUUUUCAAAGAUGCAUGUAAAUAUAUCUUUUCUUGUGAUGAAUGCCAAAGAGUUCGCAAUAUUGGUAAACGUCAGAAAAUUCCUAUGAAUUAUUCACUUGCUAUUGAACCAUUUGAUGUCUGGGUUUCAAUUUUAUGGGACCUCUCCCCUCCUCUAAUGGAUACACUCAUAUUUUAGUUGCUGUUGAUUACAUUACUAAAUGGGUAGACGCUAUUGCAACUAGUAGUGCUGAUCAUACCACUUCUAUUAAAAUGCUUAAGGACAUUAUCUUUGUGAGGUUUGGAGUCACUAGAUACUUGAUGACUCACGGUGGUUCACAUUUUAUUCAUGGUGCUUUCCGUAAAAUUCUAGCUAAAUAUGAUGCUAACCAUAGGAUUGCAUCCCCUUAUCAUCUUCAAUCUAGUGGCCAAGUAGAGCUGAGCAAUCAUGAAAUAAAAUUAAUCUUGCAAAAGGCUGUCAAUAGAUCCAGGAAGAAAUGGACUAAGAAACUAGAUGAUGCUCUUUGGGCCUAUAGGACUACUUAUAAGAAUCCUAUGGGGAUGUCCCCAUAAAAUAAUGGUCUAUGGAAAAGCUUGUCAUUUUCCUCCUGAGCUAGAACAUAAAGCUUAUUGGACAACUAAAGAACUUAACUAUGAUUUCAAACUCGCCGGUGAAAAAAGGUUAUUUGAUAUUAGCUCAUUAGAUGAAUGGAGGACACAAGCCUAUGAAAAUGCUAAUUUAUUUGAAGAGAAAGUUAAAAGGUGGCAUGACAAGAGAAUACAAAAACGAGAAUUGAAUGUAGGAGACUGAUACGUCUCCGUCGUAUCUACUUUUUUGAACUCUUUUGCCCUUGUUUUGGACUCUAAUUUGCAUGAUUUGAAUGGAACUAACCCGGACUGACGCUGUUUUCAGCACAAUUGCCAUGGUGUUGUUUUUGUGCAGAAAUAAAAGUUCUCGGAACGUCCUGAAAAUUUACGAAGUUUUUUCUGGAAUAAAAGAAAAAUACCUGCGCAAAGAUCCAUGUGAGGGGGCAUGCCAGUGGGCCACAAGCCCACAGGCCGCGACCACCCCCUAUGGUCGCGCUGUGCAGGCUUGUGGGGCCCACGUGGCACCACCGCCCCAAUCUCAGCUCGAUAUCUUCCAUUUCUCCUGGAAAAAAAAAUCAGAAAGAAGGUUUCAUCGCGUUUUGCGAUACGGAGGCGCCGCCACAUCCUGUUCUUCAUCUCGAGGGCAGAUCUCGAGUCCGCUUCGGGCUCCGGAGAGGGGAAAUCGUCGCCAUCGUCAUCAUCAACCUUUCUCCAUCGACAAUUCCAUGAUGCUUUUCAUUGUUCGUGAGUAAUCUCAUUGUAGGCUUGCUGGACGGUGAUGAGUUGGAUGAGAUCUAUCAUGUAAUCGAGUUAGUUCUUGACGGGGAUUGACCCCUAGUAUCCACUAUGUUCUAGAUUGAGGUUGCUACUACUUUGCCAUGCUUAAUGCUUGUCACUAGGGCUGAGUGUCAUGAUUUCAGAUCUGAACCUAUUAUGUUGUCGCCAAUAUAUGUGUGUUUUAGAUCCUAUCUUGCAAAUUGUAGUCAUCUACUAUGUGUUAUGACCCGGCAAUCCCGGAGUGACAAUAGCCGAACCACUCUCGGAGAUGACCAUAGUAUGAGGAGUUCAUGUAUUCACCAAGUGUUAAUGCGUUGGUCCGGUUCUUUAUUAAAAGGAGAACCUUAAUAUCCCGUAGUUUCCAUUAGGACCUCGCUGCCAUGGGAGGGAUGGACAAUAGAUGUCAUGCAAGUUCUUUUCCCUAAGCACGUAUGACUACAUACGGAAUACAUGCCUACAUUAGAUUGAUGAACGGGAGCUAGUUACAUAUCUCUCCGUGUUAUAGGUGUUACAUGAUGAAUCACAUCCGUCACACUCAUCCAUCACCGAUCCACUGCCUACGAGUCUUUUACUACUGGUCCUCUCUACGUUACUUUGCCUAGGCUUGUCCCUUGCUACAAAAGGGAUUGGGCCACUUUGCUGCUGCUGUCACUACUGCUGUUACUUGUUGCUUUGCUGCUGCUGUCACUAUUGCUAUUACUUGUUACUUUGUUGCUACUGCUACUACUGUUCCUUGCUACUCCGCUGUUACUUGUUGCAAGAAUUUGUUGGUGCUAACAUCCCAUCAACAAGGCUUUUUCUGGCGCUGUUGCCGGGGAUUGUCAAAGCUUUUCUCGCGCUGUUGCUAUCAUACUACCUUGCUACUGAUACUUUGCUUGCAGACACUAAUCUUUCAGGUGUGGUUGAAUUGACAACUCAGCUGCUAAUACUUGAGAAUAUUCUUUAGCUUCCCCUUUUGAGUGAAUCAAUAAAUUUGGGUUGAAUACUCUACCCUCGAAAACUUCUGCAAUCCCAUACGCGUGUGGGACAUCAAGACUUUUCUGGCGCCGUUGCUGGGGAAGCACAUCUAUAUUCUCUGAGUCACUUGGGAUUGACGUCUGCUGAUCACUAUGAGGAAUCCAAAAGAUCCAAGAACUAAAAUCUUGCCUUCCACUACGAGGAGAGGUAAGGAAUUGCCAUCUAGCUCUGCACUUGAUUCACCUUCAGUUUUGAGUAAGUUUGCGACAUCGCCUCGUGCUAGAUAUCUUGAUAUGUCGCCCGUGCUUGAUGAUGUUACUACUGCUGCCCUUAAUACUAUGCCUGAUGAUGCUAUGCUUGUUACUAUGCCUGAUACUGCUUUGACACUAGGUGCAUUCCUUGAUGCACAUAUUGCUAAAGUUGCUGCUAGAUGUGAUGAUACUUCUGAAACUGCUGAUACUAUUGAAGUAGAACCUGCUACUAUGCCUGAAUUGCCUGUUAUGCCUGAUACGCGCUAUGUUAUGGAGGGAGAGAUAGCUGAGGAUUUUCUUGCGCGUAAGGAUAGCUAUGAUGUUGAGAAACUUCUGCGCAAGUGGAAAGAAAAAUCUCUGAACGCUAGGAUGAAAUACGACCCGAAGUUUGCCACUUCACCUAUCUUUGUGACCGAUAAGGAUUAUGAAUUCUCUAUCGACCCUGAGUUAAUCACUCUGGUCGAAUAUGAUCCCUUUCAUGGUUACGAGUUUGAAAUGGUUGUAGCCCAUCUUACCAAAGUGCACGAUAUAACCACCGUAUUCACUAGUGAGGAAAAGAUCCGCCACUACUAUAUGCUCAAGUUGUUCCCUUUCUCGCUAAAGGAUGAUGCUAAGACCUGGUUCACUUCUCUUGCUCGUGGUUGUGUGCGUAGCCCCCAGGAUAUGGUCUACUACUUCUCUGAAAAAUAUUUCCCUGCCCAUAAGAAGCAAGCUGCCUUGGUGGAAAUAUACAACUUUGCUCAAGCUGAAGAAGAGAGUCUCCCACAAGCUUGGGGGAGGCUCAUCCAACUACUCAAUGCUUUGCCUGAUCAUCCUCUUGAGAAGAACGAAAUACUUGAUAUCUUCUAUAAUGGACUUACUGAUGCUUCCAAAGACCAUCUAGAUAGUUGUGCCGGUAGUGUUUUUAGGGAACGAACCAUAGAACAAGCUGAGAUUUUAUUGAAUAACAUCUCGUGCAAUGAGAAUGCUUGGACUAUUCCCGAACCACCUCCUAAGCCAACUCCAAAGAAAAGAGGUAUUCUAUUCCUCAGUCCUUAAGAUAUGCAAGAAGCCAAGAAAUCUAUGCGAGAGAAAGGCAUUAAAUCUGAAGAUGUCAAAAAUCUACCACCUAUCGAAGAGAUCCAUGGUCUCGAUAACCUGAUACAGGUAGUAGAAGUAAAUUCCCUGCGUAGGUUUGAUGAGAGUGAUAUUCCUUUUGAUAAACCUGCUAGCUUAUGCAUGGAUGAAUUUGAUAACUUCGUUGUCAAACAACAGAGUUUCAAUGAUUAUGUUAGCACUGAAUUUGAUAACUUCGUUGUCAAACAACAAGAUUCUCAAGGAGUUAGCACUGAUGCACCUAGUCAUCCUAGAAAGAAGAAGAAAGAUGAUAGGAACCUGCACGCUAGCAACCCUGUUGUUGCUACACCUGUGAGUCCAAACGAUGCCUCUAUCUGUGAUGCUGAAACACAAUCUGGUGAUGAACAUGAGCCUAAUGAUAAUAUCAAUAGUGAUGUUCAUGAAGAUCCUCAACCUAGCAAUGAUAAGGAUGUGCAGAUUGAACCUAGUGUUGAUCUUGAUAACCCACAACCUACGAAUAGAAGAUACGAUAAGAAUGACUUCGCUGCUAGGAAGCAUGGUAAAGAAAGGGAACCAUGGGUUCAGAAACCUAUGCCCUUUCCUCGCAAACCAUCCAAGAAAAAGGUGUUGGAAAUAUGCCCUAGAGGAAAUAAUAAAAUGGUUAUUAUCACAUUUCCUUCUUCAUGAUAAUCGUCUAUUGUUCAUGCUAUAAUUGUAUUAAUAGGAAACAAUAAUACAUGUGUGAAUAAAUAGAUCACAAUGUGUCCUUAGCAAGCCUCUAGUUGGCUAGCUCGUUAGUCAAUAGAUGAUCAUGGUUUCCUGAUCAUGGGCAUUAGAUGUCAUUGAUAACGGGAUCACAUCAUUGGGAGAAUGAUGUGAUGGACAAGACCCAAUCCUAAGCAUAACACUAGAUCGUAUUGUUCGUAUGCUAAAGCUUUUCUAAUGUCAAGUAUCUUUUACUUUGACCGUGAGAUUGUGCAACUCCCGGAUACCGUAGGAGUGCUUUGGGUGUAUCAUACGUCACAACGUAACUGGGUGACUAUAAAGGUGCACUACGGGUACCUCCGAAAGUGUCUGUUGGGUUGGUACGAAUCGAGAUCGGGAUUUGUCACUCCGUGUGACGGAGAGGUAUCUCUGGGCCCACUCGGUAGAACAUCAUCAUGAGCUCAAUGUGACUAAGGACUUAGUCACACGAUGACGUGCUACGGAACGAGCAAAGAGACUUACCGGUAACGAGAUUGAACAAGGUAUAGGCAUACCGACGAUCGAAUCUCGGGCAAGUUCUAUACCGACAGACAAAGGGAAUCAUAUACGGGAUUGAUUGAAUCCUUGACAUCGUGGUUCAUCCGAUGAGAUCAUCGUGGAGCAAGUGGGAGCCACCAUGGGUAUCCAGACCACGCUGAUGGUUAUUGGCCGGAGAGGCGUCUCGGUCAUGUCUGCCUGUCUCCCGAACCCGUAGGGUCUACACACUUAAGGUUCGAUGACGCUAGGGUUAUAGGGAAUUAUUAUACGAGGUUACUGAAAGUUGUUCGGUGUCCCGGAUGAGAUCCCGGAUGUCAUGAGGAGCUCCGGAAUGGUCCGGAGGUAAAGAUUGAUAUAUAGGACGGAUGGUUUCGGAUACCGGAAGUGUUUCGGGCAUCACCGGUAACGUACCGGGACCACCAGAGGUGGCCCCGGGGGUCCACCGAAGGGGGGCAACGACCCCGGGAGGUAAGGUGGGCCAAGUGGGGAAGCAAACCAGCCCCUAGGUGGGCUCGUGCGCCUCCCCACUCAGCCCAAUGCGUGGGGGAGAGAAAAGGGGGGGCAAACCCUAAGCCAGGUGGGCCUAAGGCCCACCAGGGGUGCGCCACACCCCUCCUCCCCCCUUGGCCGCCGCACCAGCCCCCGUCUAGGGCUGCCCCCCCAGGAGAGGGAAACCCUCAAGGGGGCGCAACCCCUCCCUUCCCCUAUAUAUAGUGGGCACUUUUGGCCAUUGAAGAUCAGACUUUGGCCUCUCUCUCGGCGCAGCCCUGCCCUUCUUCCUCCUCCUCUCUGCCGGUGCUUGGCGAAGCCCUGCCGGGAGACCUCGUCUCUCCAUCGACACCACGCCGUCGUCUGCUAGAGUUCUUCCCCAACCUCUCCCUCCUCCUUGCUAGAUCAAGGUGCGGGAGAUGUCACCGGGCUGCACGUGUGUUGAACGCGGAGCUGUUGUAUUUCGGCACUAGAUCGGAAUCGCUACGAGUACGACUCCAUCAACCGCGUUCUAGCAACGCUUCCGCUUAGCGAUCUUCAAAGCUAUGAAGAUGCUCUUACCCCUCUCUCGUUGCUGGUCUCUCCAUAGGAAGAUCUGAAUAUGCGUAGGAAAUUUUUAAUUUAUGCUACGUUACCCAACAGUGGCAUCCGAGCCAGGUUUUCUAUGCGUAGAUUCUAUGCACGAGUAGAACACAAAAGUUGUGGGCGAUGAUUUGUCAAUUUGCUUGAAGCUACUAGUCUUAUUAUUUUCCGGCGGUAUUGUGGGAUGAAGCGGCCCGGACCGACUUUACACGUACGCUUACGUGAGACUGGUUCCACCGACAGACAUGCACACAGUGCAUAAAGGUGGCUAGCGGGUGUCUGUCUCUCCUACUCUAGUCGGAUUGGAUUUGAUGAAAAGGGUCCUUAUGAAGGGUAAAUAGCUUUGGCAUAUCAUCGUUGUGGCUGUCACGUAGGUAAGAAGGCGUUCUUGCUAGAAACCCAAAUCAGCCACGUAAAACUUGCAACAACAAUUAGAGGACGUCUAACUUGUUUUUGCAGGGUUUGACAUGUGAUGUGAUAUGGCCAAAGUUGUGAUGUUGCAUGUAUGAUGUAUGAUAUGAUAAUGUUAUUGUAAUAGGUUUCACGUGCAUGUCGAUGAGUAUGACAACCGGCAGGAGCCAUAGGAGUUGUCUUAAUUUAUUGUAUGAGAUGCAACGCCAUGUGCUUACUACUUUUACUUCAUUGCUAACGGUUAGCUAUAGUAGUAGUGAUAGUAGUAGUUGGCGUGACGACUUCACGGAGACACGAUGAUGCAGAUCAUGAUGAUGGAGAUCAUGGUGUCACGCCGGUGACGAUGAUGAUCAUGCGAUGCCUGAAGAUGGAGAUCGAAAGAGCAAAGAUGAUAAUGGCCAUAUCAUGUCACUAUAUGAUUGCAUUGUGAUGUUUAUCAUGUUUUACAUCUUAUUGCUUAGAAUGACGGUAGCAUAAUAAGAUGAUCCCUCUUAAAAUUUCGAGAACGUAUUCCCCUAAGUGUGUACCGUUGCGAAGGUUCGUUGUCUCGAAGCACCACGUGAUGAUCGGGUGUGAUAGAUUCUAACGUUCGCAUACAACGGGUGUAAGCCAGAUUUACACACGCGAAACACCUAGGUUGACUCGACGAGCUUAGCAUGUACAGACAUGACCUCGAAUACAAGAGACCUAAAGGUCUAACAUGAGUCGUAUGGUUGAAUACGAUCAGCAUGGAGUUGCUCACCGUGGUGACUAGUCCGUCUCACGUGAUGAUCGGACACGGGUUAGUCAACAUGGAUCAUGUAUCACUUAGAUGACUAGAGGGAUGUCGAUUUAAGUGGGAGUUCAUACUUAAUUUGAUUAAAUGAACUUAAUUGUCAUGAACUUAGUCUAAAAGUUGUCUUUAUAAAUAUUGUAGAUGGCCAACGUCAACCUCAAUUUCAACGCAUUCCUAGAGAAAAACAAGCUGAAAGAUGAUGGUAGAAACUAUGCGGACUGGGUUCGCAACUUGAAGCUCAUCCUUGAAGCAGCUAAAAAGGCUUAUGUCCUUGAUGCGCCGCUAGGUGACCCUCCCGCUCCCACAGCAGCCCAGGACAUUCUGAACGUCUGGCAAACGCGGAGUGAUGACUACUCUUUGGUUAGGUGUGGCAUGUUAUACAGUUUAGAAACGGGGCUCCAAAGGCGUUUUGAGCAACACGGGGCAUAUGAGAUGUUCCAGGAGCUGAAGCUAGUUUUUCAAGCUCAUGCCCGUGUCGACAGAUAUGAAGUCUCCGACUAGUUCUUUAGCUGUAAGAUGGAGGAGAACAGUUCUGUCAGUGAGCACAUACUCAAAAUGUCUGGGUUACACGGUCGUGUGACUUCACUUGGAGUCGAACUUCCGGAUGAUGCUAUAAUUGACAGAAUCCUCCAGUCUCUCCCACCAAGCUACAAAGGCUUUGUGCUUAACUACGACAUGCAAGGGAUGGAGAAGACCAUUCCCGAGUUGUACUCGAUGCUCAAGUCUGCAGAAGUAGAAAUCAAGAAAGAGCAUCAAGUGUUGAUGGUCAACAAGACCACUAGUUUCAAGAAAGGCAAGGGUAAGAAGAACUUCAAGAAAGACGGCAAAGUUGUUGCCGCGCCCGGUAAGCCAGAUGCUAGGAAGAAGAAAAAGAAUGGACCCAAGCCUGAGACUGAGUGCUUCUAUUGCAAAGGAAAAGGUCAGUGGAUGCGGAACUGCCCCAAAUACUUAGCGGACAAGAAGGCCGGCAACGUUAAAGGUAUAUGUGAUAUACAUGUUAUUGAUGUGUACCUUACCAGCGCUCGUAGUAGCUCCUGGGUAUUUGAUACCGGUGUUGUUGCUCACAUUUGCAACUCAAAGCAGGAACCGCGUAAUAAGCGGAGACUGGCCAAGGACGAGGUGACAAUGCGUGUCGGGAAUGGUUCAAAGGUCGAUGUGAUCGCCGUCGGCACGCUACCUCUACAUCUACCGUCGGGAUUAAUUUUAAACCUUAAUAAUUGUUAUUUAGUACCAACUUUAAGCAUGAACAUUGUAUCAGGGUCUUGCUUAAUGCGAGACGGCUACUCAUUUAAGUCAGAGAAUAAUGGUUGUUCUAUUUAUGAGUGAAAUGUUUUAUGGUCAUGCUCCGCUGGGGAAUGGUUUAUUCUUGAUGAAUCUUGAUCGUGAUGUUACACAUAUUCAUAGUGUGAGUACCAAAAGAUGUAAAGUUGAUAAUGAUAGUCCCACAUACUUGUGGCACUGCCGCCUUGGUCAUAUAGGUGUUAAGCGCAUGAAGAAGCUCCAUACUGAUGGACUAUUAGAGUCUCUUGACUUUGAAUCAUUUGACACAUGCGAACCGUGCCUCAUGGGCAAGAUGACUAAGACUCCAUUCUCAGGAAUAAUGGAGAGAGCAACCGACUUAUUGGAAAUAAUACAUACUGAUGUGUGUGGUCCAAUGAACGUUGAAGCUCGCGGUGGUUAUCGUUAUGUUCUCACUCUCACCGAUGAUUUGAGUAGGUAUGGGUAUAUCUACUUGAUGAAGCACAAAUCUGAGACGUUUGAAAAGUUCAAGGAAUUUCAGAGUGAGGUUGAGAAUCAACGUGACAGAAAAAAUUAAAUGUUUACGAUCUGAUCGUGGAGGAGAAUAUUUGAGUCACGAGUUUGGCACACACCUAAGGAAGUGUGGAAUCGUUUCACAACUGACGCCGCCUGGCACACCGCAACGGAACAGAGUGUCUGAACGUCGUAAUCACACUUUAUUAGAUAUGGUACAAUCUAUUAUGUCUCUUACCGACUUACCGCUAUCAUUUUGGGGAUACGCAUUAGAAACCGCAGCAUUCACUUUAAAUAGGGCACCGUCUAAAUCCGUUGAGACGACACCGUAUGAACUAUGGUUUGGCAAGAAACCUAAGUUGUCGUUUCUUAAAGUUUGGGGUUGCGAUGCUUAUGUGAAGAAACUUCAACGAGAAAAGCUCAAACCCAAAGCGGAGAGAUGCGUAUUCAUAGGAUACCCUAAGGAAACUAUUGGGUAUACCUUCUAUAUUAGAUCCGAAGGUAAAACCUUUGUUGCCAAGAACGGAUCCUUUCUAGAGAAAGAGUUUCUCUCGAAAGAAGUAAGUGGGAGGAAGGUAGAACUUGAUGAGGUAAUUACACCCCCUCUCGAACAGGAUAGUAGCCCAGCGCGGGAAGUUGUUCCUGUGGCGCCUACACCAACUGAAGAGCAAGUUAAUGAUGAUGAUCAUGAAGCUUCGGAUCAAGUUACUACUGAACUGCGAAGGUCCACAAGGGCACGCUCCGCACCAGAGUGGUACGGCAACCCUGUGAUGGAAAUCAUCUUGUUAGACAACGUGAACCUUCGAACUAUGAAGAAGCGAUGGCGGGCCCGGAUUCCAACAAAUGGCUUGAGGCUAUGAAAUCCGAGAUAGGAUCCAUGUAUGAGAACAAAGUGUGGACUUUGGUGGACUUGCCCGAUGACCGGCGAGCCAUAGAAAAUACAUGGAUCUUCAAGAAGAAGACUGAUGCAAACGGUAAUAUAACCGUUUACAAAGCUCGACUUGUCGCAAAGCGUUUUCAACAAAUACAAGGAGUUGACUACGAAGAGACUUUCUCUCCUGUAGCGAAGCUGAAAUCAGUCCGAAUCAAGUUAGCAAUUGCCGCCUUUUAUGUUAUGAAAUUUGGCAAAUGGACGUCAAAACAGCGUUCCUUAACGGGAACCUUAAGGAAGAGUUGUAUAUGAUGCAACCAGAAGGUUUUGUCGACCCUAAGGGUGCUAACAAAGUGUGCAAGCUGCAGCGCUCCAUCUAUGGGCUGGUGCAAGCAUCUCGUAGUUGGAACAUUCGCUUUAAUGAGGUGAUUAAAGCGUUUGGGUUCAUACAGGUUUACGGAGAAGCCUGUCUGUACAAGAAAGUGAGUGGGAGCUCUGUAGCUUUCCUCAUACUGUAUGUGGAUGACAUAUUAUUGAUGGGGAAUAAUAUAGAGAUGUUGGAGAGCAUAAAGGCCUAUUUGAACAUUUUUUUUUCAACGAAUGACCUUGGAGAAGCUGCAUACAUAUUAGGCAUCAAGAUCUAUAGAGAUAGAACAAGACGGCUCACAGGUCUUUCACAAAGUACAUACCUUGACAAGAUAUUGAAGAAGUUCAAUAUGGAAAACUCAAAGAAAGGGUUCUUGGCAGUUUUGCAAGGUUUGAGAUUGAGUAAAACUCAAUCACCGACCUAGGCAGCAGAUAGAGAGAAGAUGAGUUCUGUCCCCUACGCAUCAGCCGUGGGCUCUCUAAUGUAUGUCAUGCUGUCUACCAGACCUGAUAUAAACCUUGCCAUAAGCUUGGUAGGGAGGUAGCAAAGUGAUCCUGGUAUGGAACACUGGACAGUGGUUAAGAAUAUCCUCAAGUACCUGAAAAGGACUAAGGAAAUGUUUCUCGUUUAUGGAGGUGACGAAGAGCUCGUCGUAAAGGGUUACGUCGACGCUAGCUUCGACACAGAUCCGGAUGACUCUAAGUCACAGACCGGAUACGUAUAUGUGUUGAAUUGUGGGGCAGUGAGUUGGUGCAGCAGCAAGCAAGAAGUCGUGGCAGCAUCUACAUGUGAAGCGGAGUACAUAGCUGCUUCAGAAGCAGCUCAUGAAGGAAUUUGGAUGAAGGAGCUCAUCACCGACCUUGGAGUGGUUCCAAGCACGCCGGGUCCACUGACACUCUUUUGUGAUAACACUGGGGCCAUUGCCAUAGCCAAGGAGCCCAGGUUUCACCGGAAGACGAAGCACAACAAACGCCGCUACAACUCCAUCCAGGACCAUGUCCAAAGUGGAGUGAUAGAUAUUUGUAAAGUACACACGGAUCUGAAUAUUGCAGACCCGUUGACUAAACCUCUUCCACGAGCAAAACAUGAUCAACACCAUAAUGAUAUGGGUGUUCGAUACAUCACAAUGUAACUAGAUUAUUGACUCUAGUGCAAGUGGGAGACUUUUGGAAAUAUGCCCUAGAGGCAAUAAUAAAAUGGUUAUUAUCAUAUUUCCUUGUUCAUGAUAAUCAUCUAUUGUUCAUGCUAUAAUUGUAUUAACAGGAAACAGUAAUACAUGUGUGAAUAAAUAGAUCACAAUGUGUCCCUAGCAAGCCUCUAGUUGGCUAGCUCGUUAGUCAAUAGAUGAUCAUGGUUUCCUGAUCAUGGGCAUUAGAUGUCAUUGAUAACGGGAUCACAUCAUUGGGAGAAUGAUGUGAUGGACAAGACCCAAUCCUAAGCAUAGCACUAGAUCGUAUUGUUCGUAUGCUAAAGCUUUUCUAAUGUCAAGUAUCUUUUCCUUCGACCGUGAGAUUGUGCAACUCCAGGAUACCGUAGGAGUGCUUUGGGUGUAUCAAACGUCACAACGUAACUGGGUGACUAUAAAGGUGCACUACGGGUACCUCCGAAAGUGUCUGUUGGGUUGGUACGAAUCGAGAUCGGGAUUUAUCACUCCGUGUGACGGAGAGGUAUCUAUGGGCCCACUCGGUAGAACAUCAUCAUGAGCUCAAUGUGACUAAGGAGUUAGUCACACGACGACGUGCUAUGGAACGAGUAAAGAGACUUACCGGUAACGAGAUUGAACAAGGUAUAGGCAUACCUACGAUCGAAUCUCGGGCAAGUUCUAUACCGAAAGACAAAGGGAAUCAUAUACGGGAUUGAUUGAAUCCUUGACAUCGUGGUUCAUCCGAUGAGAUCAUCGUGGAGCAAGUGGGAGCCACCAUGGGUAUCCAGACCCCGCUGAUGGUUAUUGGCCGGAGGGGCGUCUCGGUCAUGUGUGCCUGUCUCCCGAACCCGUAGGGUCUACACACUUAAGGUUCGAUGACACUAGGGUUAUAGGGAAUUGUUAUACGAGGUUACCGAAAGUUGUCCGGAGUCUCGGAUGAUAUCCCAGACGUCAUGAGGAGCUUCGGAAUGGUCCGGAGGUAAAGAUUGAUAUAUAGGACGGAUGGUUUUGGAUACUGGAAGUGUUUCGGGCAUCACCGGUAACGUACCGGGACCACCGGAGGUGGCCCCGGGGGUCCACCGAAGGGGGGAAACGACCCCGGGAGGUAAGGUGGGCCAAGUGGGGAAGGGAACCAGCCCCUAGGUGGGCUGGUGCGCCUCCCCACUCAGCCCAAUGCGUGGGGGAGAGAAAAGGGGGGCAAACCCUAAGCCAGGUGGGCCUAAGGCCCACCAGGGGUGAGCCACACCCCUCCUCCCCCCCCUUGGCCGCCGCACCAGCCCCCACCAAGGGCUGCUGCCCCCCCAGGAGAGGGAAAUCCUCAAGGGGGCGUAGCCCCUCCCUUCCCCUAUAUAUAGUGGGCACUUUUGGCCAUUGGAGAUCAGACUUUGGCCUCUCUCUCGGUGCAGCCCUGCCCUUCUUCCUCCUCCUCUGUGCCGGUGCUUGGUGAAGCCCUGCUGGGAGACCUCGUCUCUCCAUCGACACCACGCCGUCGUGUUGCUGGAGUUCUUCCCCAACCUCUCCCUCCUCCUUGCUGGAUCAAGGUGCGGGAGACGUCACCGGGCUACACGUGUGUUGAAUGCGGAGGUGUCGUAGUUCGACACUAGACCGGAAUCCCUGCGAGUACGACUCCAUCAACCGCGUUCUAGCAACGAUUCCGCUUAGCGAUCUUCAAAGGUAUGAAGAUGCUCUUACCCCUCUCUCGUUGCUGGUCUCUCCAUAGGAAGAUCUGAAUAUGCGUAGGAAAUUUUGAAUUUAUGCUACGUUACCCAACAAAAGGAUGAUGAGGAUUUUGAGCGAUUCGUUGAAAUGAUCAGACUUGUCUUUCUGCAGAUGCGUUUGACUGAUAUGCUCAAGAUGUCUCCGUAUGUUAAGUACAUGAAAGAUACUUUGACUAAUAAGAGGAGGAUACCUGAUCUUGAGAUCUUCGCCAUGCUUGCUAAUUACACCUUCAAGGGUGGAACUCCGAAGAAACUAGGUGAUCCCGGUGUGCCCACUAUACCUUGCUCCAUUAAAGGCAACUACGUUAGAACUGCGUUAUGCGAUCUUGGAGCCGGUGUUAGUGUUAUGCCUCUCUCUCUUUAUUGUAUACUUGAACUGGAUAAGUUGACACCCACUAAAAUCUCUCUGCAAAUGGCCGACAAAUCAACUCCUUUCCCUAUUGGCAUUUGCGAGCAUGUGCCUGUUGUGGUUGCUAAUACCACUAUCUUAACAGACUUUGUUAUCUUGGAUAUUCCCGAGGACGAUGCCAUGGCUGUCAUUCUCGGAAGACCCUUUUUAAACACUGCAGGGGCUGCUAUAGAUUGCAACAAAGGCAAUGUCACUUUCCAUGUCAAUGGUAAUGAGCAUACGGUGCACUUUCCGAAGAAACAAUAUCGAGUACAUUGCAUCAAUGCUAUCAAAAAAUGUUCAUCGAUUCUUAUUGCGAGCUUUGAAUGCCAUAUUCCUCGCAUUAAGAUGAAGUACGAUUUGCUUGUUGGGGAGAUACACAUCCCCAUUGAGGUGACCUAGUGACUAUUCGGAAAUUCUCCGUCUUCUUUUGCGAUUCGAGAAUGUUUUGUCGAGGGGAUUUGAUCAACCCCAUUGACGGAUUUCUUUCGAUGACCAUGAGAUGGAUGAAUCAAGGAGUCACAAACCUCUGUUCCAAGCUUUCACUUUAGGUUGCUUAGAAGAAAAAUGAUAGGUUUAGUUUAUUUUUCCCUGUUUUCUGUUUUAGCGUCCGGUAGAAAAGUACCCCGAAAAUCAAAGUUCUCCGAACGCUGUGAAAAUCAAGUAUGAUUUUUUCUGGAAUAUUUGAAAAAUACUCGAACAAAGAGUCUGUCUGGGGGCCACACCAGUGGGCCACAAGCCCUAGGGGCAUAGGCACCCCCUGGACGCGCCACCCAGGCUUUUGGGGACCACAUGCACCCCCUCCACUCAUUCUUGCUCCCAUCCAGUUCUCCUACCUCUAGAAAAAAUCGUUUCGCAGCUCAAACCCAUGUUCUUGCUCCUCCAGCUGGGAUUUUCGAUCUCUUUGCUCAAAUCACCGUUCUCCGAACUGUUUUGGGGAAAUUACUCCUUCGUAAGUGACUCCUCCAUUGGUCCAAUUAGUUUUUGCUCUAGUGCCUUAUACUCCGCGUAUUUUUGCUGCCUUGGUGACCAUGUUCUUGAGCUUUGCAUGCUGAUUCUAGCUGGUCCCAAGUAGUUUUGAUGCGUAAUAUGGUCUCUAGGCACUUGUUGGAGUAGUUGCUAUGAGUUUCGUUGAGCCUUAUUCACUUUUCCUUAGAAUCACUAAAAAUUUCAGAAAUUUUCAGAGAUAGAAAAGGGAAAAGAUGAGGAGGUUCUUAAGAGGCUCGUCAAGCCGUGACCCCAAGGAUGAUGGGAGUGAGAAGAAGCCCAAGUAUUUGGUCCCUCGAGUCGCAGAAGUUCGAGCGUGCGAGUGGCCAAGCGACGUGUUCUUACGUGCUGCUGGAAUUUAUGAGGACUUUUAUCACUUGGUGGAGAACGCAGGCCUUACUGCCUUCGUUGAAGAUAAGUGUCCGCAAUACCUCCGCCUCACUAGUAUCUUCGUACAAAGCUUUCACUUCUAUCCGAGGAAGAAUCCUCCUACGGUUGAGUUUAAACUUUAUGAUAUCCCCCAGCGCAUGUCACUCCAGGAUUUUUGCAAUGUUUGCAAAUUGCCUUACGUUGUGGAUAUUCAUGAACCUCGUCCACGGGACCUGGAAGCUUUCAUUGGUACUAUUGCUGUAGGAGAGGAGAGAGGAGUGUCUUGCGCUAGAGCUGCUAGCAUACAUUUUCCCGUGCUUCGAUACUUCUCACUAUUUGUGGAAAAUGUUUGAUUUGCCGUGGGAAAGCUGGGUCACUUAGUUCCCCAGAUCCUGCGGUCUUGCGCGAAGCCCUUUAUAACGAUAAAACUUAUAGCUUAGGCACUAUAGUAGCUCAAUGGUUGAACCUGAACCGUUCUAAGGGUGUUGUCUAUGGAGGUAUCUACGCUACUCGUCUUGCUAGACACUUUGAGAUACCUAUUAGACUGGUGGAGGAAGAAGAGAUUCUUCUUCCCGAGAGAUAUCUAGAUUAUGAUAGCAUGGUUCGCCAUGACUUUCUUGAUAGAGAUAUAGGUGGAAGGAUGAUUUAUAACCUGGUAUUUAGUUAGGGUACUCGUGAGACUAUUACUUUGUCUGCUCCUUCUUUGUUCAAUCUUCAUGCAGGCAGGUACACUAUUAUGCCCUCGGACAUCUAUGCAUAUUGGGGCUUAGCCCAACCACAGGUGCCCGUGCCCGAGCCGCCAGUCGAGUACCAGACGCCAGUUUAUCAGUGGGAGCCAGAGGAGCUCACACAGCAGUGGCAUCCUCAGUCCACACCGGAGUACCCAGGAGCUGGUUAUUUCCCUCCUUGGGAGUAUACCAAGUUAGGCCAAAAGCCUAAGCUUGGGGGAGUACGUGUUCUCACCGACUUUAAAUUCUUGCUUAUGCUUUCACUUUGCUAGCCAGUGUUCACACUUUGCCACUGUAUCAUCCAUGCUAGUUUAUUUUCUUUUUUCUCAUUUUCUUUUCGUGUGUCUGUCUAGUUUGAGAAAAAAAACAAAAAGAUUUCCUUUUUCUUCUUUUGCUUGUUGGGAGCUUUCCCGUGUAGAGAGUUUUCUUUUUCUUUGGGUCAAGGUAGAAGACAUUGGUUGCAAUGUUUAGUGGCUCUUGCAUGCAUACCUGUUUAGUUUUCAAAGAGCCAUAUUACUUUGUCUUCUCCUUUGUGUUUGCCUGCAGAUUCCAGCUUUAGUCCAACGCACGAGCACGCUUAUUAUUGUUCACUUCGUUCGGUCGUGCAAGUGAAAGGAAAUAAUGACGAUAUAUGAUGAAGUGACUGAGCCUGGAAAAGAUGGUAUGAACUCGAUCUAUUUUGCUUUUGUAAAGAUGACUAGCUCAUCAUGCCUGACUCAGCUUUGUUGUGAGAGAAACAUGUUUGCAAUGAAAACUUAGAGAUCAUAGUUGCUUAUGCCAUGCUUACUUGGCUAGGAUCUUAUAAUUGUUUGUCUUGGUUGCCAACAUGAAUGUUGAGAUGACUAUGAUGUAGUAUUAUAGGAUGAUAUCCUCCUUUGAAUGUUUCAAGUGGCUUGACUUGGCACAUGUUCACGCAUGUAGUUGAAACAAAAUCAACAUAGCCUCUAUGAUGUUCAUGUUCAUGGUGAUUUAUGUCCUACUCAUGCUUGCAUUCAAUGUUAGUUACUCUCAAUACAUUUUGAUGACUGUUGUCGCUCUCUAGUUGGUCGCUUCCCAGUCUUUUGCUAGCCUUCACUUGUACUAAGCGGGAAUACUGCUUGUGCAUCCACCUCCAUAAACCCAAAGUUGUGCCAUAUGAGUCCAUCAUACCUUACUAUGUGCGGUAUCUACCUGUCGUUCGAAGUAAAUUUGCAUGUGCCACUCUCUAAAUAUUCAAGAAAUAAUCUGUUUUGCAUGCGUGAACCGCUCAUGUGGUGACAGGGGGCUAUUGGUAUCUUCCAUGCUAGGCAUGUUAUCCUCGAUAUGUGUUUAUUCACUAUCAUUCACGAGAAAGGGGCCGGUAAUUGGAAUUCCCAGUUCCAUGCUCAAAUGUAAAAGAUAAUUACAAACAAAACUCCCCCAGGAUUGAUGUUGGUAUGGACGGUACCCGAGGAUUAGGCUAGCCGUGGAGUGUGAUUGAUUGGUGGUGGGGGAGUCAAAACUUUACUUUUCUGUUUGGGAACCGCCUAUAGCAUGUGUAGCAUGGAAGAUGUUGAGAACUCUUAGUCAUUGCGUUGACAAUGAAAGCAUGCCACCCAAAAUUAUUAUCUCUGUUUUCAAAGCUUGAGCUCUGGCACCUCUGCAAAUCAAUGCUUCCCUCUGCGAAGGGCCUGUCUAUUUAUGUUCAUGAGUCAUCCUCCUCUUACAAAAGCACCAAUUAGAGAGCACCUCUGUCAUUUUUAUGCUUUGCUUUUAACUGUGUUGAGUAUGACUAUGACUGGAUCUUCAUUGCCUUGAAUUACAAUGUUUAGUCAGCCCUUGGUCUUUGAAGGUGCUCUGCAUUUAUGUUUUGCGGUCUCAGAAAGAGCUAGCGAGAUACCAUCUAUUCGUACUGCUUCAUCUUGCUUUGAUUGAAGUGUUGACAUUUGAGGCUUAUUAUUAUUUGCUCGCUAGUUGAUUAUGCCAUUGAUAUGAGUUUACCGUGAGACCUAGAUGUCAUUUGCUUAUGUGGUUUGCUUGUGAUGUUGCUGAAAUUCUGGUUAUGAGUUAGACAUAGUUGCAACAACAAGAUCAAACAGAGUUCGUCAAAGUUUUUCUUUUGUCUCUCUCAGUUUGUCAACUGAGUUGCUUGAGGACAAGCAAGGCUUUAAGCUUGGGGGAGUUGAUACGUCUCCGUCGUAUCUACUUAUUCAAACUCUUUUGCCCUUGUUUUGGACUCUAAUUUGCAUGAUUUGAAUGGAACUAACACGGACUGACGCUGUUUUCAGCAGAAUUGCCAUGGUGUUGUUUUUGUGCAGAAGUAAAAGUUCUCGGAACAUCCAGAAAAUUUACGUAGAAUUUUUCCGGAAUAAAAAAAAUACCUGCGCAAAGGUCCACGUGAGGGGGCGUGCCAGUGGGCUACAAGCCCACAGGCUGCGGCCACCCCCUAUGGUCGCGUAGUGUAGGGUUGUGGGGACCACGUGGCACCACCGCCCCCAAACUCAGCUCUAUAUUUUCCAUUUCGCCUGGAAAAAAUAAAUCAGAAAUAAGGUUUCAUCGUGUUUUGCGAUACGAAGGCACCGCCACAUCCUGUUCUUCAUCUGGAGGGCAGAUGUGUAGUCCGUUUCGGGCUCCGGAGAGGGGAAAUCGUCGCCAUCGUCAUGAUCAACCUUUCUCCAUCAACAAUUCCGUGAUGCUCUUCAUCGUUCGUGAGUAAUCUCAUCGUAGGCUUGCUGGACGGUGAUGAGUUGGAUGAGAUCUAUCAUGUAAUCGAGUUAGUUCUUGACGGGGAUUGAUCCCUAGUAUCCACUAUGUUCUAGAUUGAUGUUGCUACUACUUUGCCAUGCUUAAUGCUUGUCACUAUGGCUGAGUGUCAUGAUUUCAGAUCUGAACCUAUUAUGUUGUCGCCAAUAUAUGUGUGUUUUAGAUCCUAUCUUGCAAGUUGUAGUCACCUACUAUGUGUUAUGACCCGGCAACCCCGGAGUGACAAUAGCCGGAACCACUCCCGGAGAUGACCAUAGUAUGAGGAGUUCAUGUAUUCACCAAGUGUUAAUGCGUUGGUCCGGUUCUUUAUUAAAAGGAGAACCUUAAUAUCCCGUAGUUUCCAUUAGGACCCCGCUGCCAUGGGAGGGAUGGACAAUAGAUGUCAUGCAAGUUCUUUUCCCUAAGCACGUAUGACUACAUACAGAAUACAUGCCUACAUUAGAUUGAUGAAUGGGAGCUAGUUACAUAUCUCUCCGUGUUAUAGCUGUUACAUGAUGAAUCACAUCCGUCACACUCAUCCAUCACCAAUCCACUGCCUACGAGUCUUUUACUACUGGUCCUGGCUACGUUACUUUGCCUAGGCUUGUCCCUUGCUACAAAAGGGAUUGGUCCACUUUGCUGUUGUUGUCACUACUGCUGUUACUUGUUGCUUUGCUGCUGCUGUCACUACUGCUGUUACUUGUUAUUUUGUUGCUGCUGCUACUACUGUUCCUUGCUACUCCACUGUUACUUGUUGCAAGACUUUUUUGGCGCUAACAUCUCGUCAACAAGGCUUUUUCUGGCGCCGUUGCCGGGGAUUGUCAAAGCUUUUUCUGGUGCCGUUGCUAUCAUACUUUCUUGCUACUGAUACUUUGCUUGCAGACACUAAUCUUUCAGGUGUGGUUGAAUUGACAACUCAACUGCUAAUACUUGAGAAUAUUCUUUAGCUUCCCCUUGUGAGAUAAUCAAUAAAUUUGGGUUGAAUACUCUACCCUCGAAAACUGAUGCGAUCCCAUACGCUUGUGGGACAUCAGAGACCUAGUGCUUCUGUACAACUCUCAUUUUAGAUUCUUUGUAGGUAAACUCCUCUCCAAAUGGGAAGGACCCUAUGUUGUCGAGGAGGUUUAUCGGUCUGGAGAGUGGUGAAAAAUUAAUGACUUCGAAGGUAAAAACCCGAGAGUCGUGAAUGGGCAAAGAAUCAAACAUUAUAUUUUAGGUGCACCCAUUAAUGAGGAGACCAAUAUCAUCCAAGUCAUAACACGGGAAGAUCACAUAAAGUAAGAGGCUGUUUGGUUUCCAGUCUAAGGUUGCCACGCCUAACCUUAGUCAUGCCACAAUACCUUAGGCAUGUGUUUGGUUCAUUGUCACACUUGUGGCUUGCCACACUUUUCUAGUUAUAUGGUCCACAUGUCAUACACUUAUUGUUUUGCCAAAUCUUGCCACACUUGUGGUGUCUAUUUUCUUAGCCACACUUUUUGUGGCAGCCACACUUUGCCUAAGGUUAGUUGUGGCAAAGUUAGUCAUGAACCAAACAGGCCCUAAGUCUUCCGGAAUGCUCCACACACCUGAAAAAGGGUAGGUAUGUGGUACGGUAAGUAAACCGACUCCAAAAAUUCCCAAAAAAUAAUUUAUGUCAGCUUUGGUAUUUUAGAAAAAUUACAACAAUAAAAAGGAGUCCAGGGGACCCACGAGGUAGGCACAUGCCAACAAGGUGCGCCCCCUGAUUUUUUGUGGGGCCCUCGUGCGCCUCCCGGUAUAUGACUUCUUACUGAACACGUAUUCUGGUCUAGAAAAAUUAUUAUAUAUACUCCCGGUUGUUUUGAAUAUCGCACCGCGAGAUUUUCUUCUGUUCUUGUUUCGGGUUGUUUUUCUGACAGAUCUAGAUCACCAUGACGACUCCAGGUUCCUCCAAGGACAAGUUCUUAGAGAAGGUCAUCAACCCGUACCUCCUGGAGGUGAUGAAACACCCUCAAGACAUUGACAUGCAUGAGGGGGUGCUUCACAUCCGUGACGUCCAAGAGCCAAAGAAGGAGGGAAGCGAGAAGGACAAGCUUGCAGAGGUGGAGCAGGAGAUCUUCAAGUGUCAGGGGAUGGUUGAACGUGGUUUGAGUGCUAACCACUCCAUGAUCAGAGACUUCAUCCAGGAGAACAAGCUGGACACUACGAAAGUGGGGAGGUUUUUUUUAAAAUAGAAGAGCGGGUCGAUCAGCUCCAAGGUCAAGUCUAUGAACUCGAAAGCCAAAACUGCGACUAUGAAUCUAGGUUUUAAAGGAUGAGCUUUGCUGCCGGUUUCAGGGCUCCCGAGACAAAAUUCUCUUAUUAUGAUGGGGAGUCUACACCUUGGAAGGCAUAAGAGGACACCCCAACUACACCACCACUGACACCCAAGAAGGACGCUUGAGUACAUGGUUAUGGGCAUCACCCUUGGCUUACAUAAUAAAGAUUAGUUGAGUAUGUAUGCUUUGCUCUCAUUACAUCCAACAUCAUAGCAAAGCAAUGAAAAACAUAUAUAGAGAAAUAUCAUAUGCUUAUCUUAUGAGGAGUAAUGACUUUGCAUAGUAAAAAGUAUAAGUGAUGAAGGUUCUUGAAAAUAAACAAGCAUAGUAUUAAUCAUGUUACAAUCUAAGCAAGACUAGAAAGAGGAGAGGAGAUUCUCAUAUAAAUACACAAUCUUGGACAUCUUUUAUGAUUGUGAUCCCUCAUCAAAUAUUAUAUAUUGAUCAAGUGUUGACGUAGGACAUGUAAGACAACAUAAUGGUGAUGGUACUUUACAUUCAUAUAGAAUUUAUAUGGUCGUGGAUCCUUUAACAUGUGGUGCUUGCUUUAGAUCUUUUGCUAGCCCAAAAACUUUGCACUAAGUAGAAAUACUACUUGUGCAUCCAUAACCCUGAAACCCAGUUUCUUGCCAUGAGAGUCCACUAUACCUACCCAUGGAUUGAGUAAGAUCCUUCAAGUAAGUUGUCAUCGAGGCACCAAGCAAUAUAAAGUUGCUCCUAAAUAUGUAUGAUCUUUUAUUACGAGGGAAAAUAAACUUUGUACGAUCUUGUGAUGGCAAAUAAAUAAAAACGACAAGCUGCAUAAUAAACUUUGCUAUCACAAGGGGCAAUAUAAAGUGAUGUUCCUUUGCAUUAAGAGUUUGCACACCUCUGCUUCCCUCUACGAAGGGCCUAUCUUUUAUCUUUGAAAGUUCACACUUGUGUGUGAGUCACUAAAUUCCUUCAUCUUUCUACUUAUUAAUUCUAUAGUGGCAAGCAUCAUGUGUUGAGGAAAGAUUCAGAUUUAUAUAUCCAAGUGAAUGUAGAUUAUCAUGAUUAUUAUUGUUGACAUUCUCCUUGAGGUAAAUGGGUUGGGCCGCAAAUCAUUUAAGCCCCUAUCUUCCUAUGUGUCCUGUGAAAACAUGAGCUCCAAAAAUAUGACUCGAGUGUGAGGAAUCAUAGAAGAAUAAAUGAUAAUUGAGUAUGUGAACUUGCUAAUAAGAAAGCUCUUACAUAAAAUCUCCUCUCAAAUAUGUUCAGUUAUGAUUGGCCCAUUGACUGAGAAGAUAGUUUGUUGUUUGUCAGCAAAUAUUUAUGCUUGAUACUCCAAUAUUUGUGAAUGGAUUGUUAAUUAUUUAUGAGAAGAUAUAUGAUAAAAUAUUUGCUGCUCUGCUAAUAUUCAUGAUGCUCUCAUGCCUGUAUUUUUAUUUUAUCGACUUCUCCCUCUCAAAUCAUGUGGCCAUUAUUCUUGAGCUCGGCUUUGGCUUGAGGACAAGCGAGGUCUAAGCUUGGGGGAGUUGAUACAUCCAUUUUUCAUCAUGAAUCUUUAUUGAUAUUUUUCUUAUUAUUGUCCAUUAUUCCCUAUCAUUAUGUAAUUCUUAUGCCUUUUCUCUCUAAAUAUGCAAGGUACGUCACAAAGAGGGAAAUAUCUGAAAAUAGGAAUUCUCGACCGAGAAACCGAGAAAAAGGCAGAAAAAUCAAGUUGCUCCAAAUGACCUGAAACUUCAUGCAAAAUCAAGUUGCUCCAGCACCAUAUCAUCUCCAAUCGUAGUUCAUCUCAUGUAUUCAAUCUUUGCCGCAAAACCUCAAAUUGGUAUUUGUGGGUUGCUAGUUAUGUUCAAUACAUCUUUUAGUUGAUGGUAGUUGGAUUACUUGGUGGAAGACAUUAUGUUGAGAUCCUUGAUCAUUAUUAUUAUACUUCUGGUGUUGAACAUGUUGAUAAGGUGUGGGUAGUUACUAUUUCUCCUAAGGACAUGGGAGAAGUCUUGUUAUAAGUAAUCAUAUAAAGUUGGUAUUCGUUCAAUAUUUUGAUGAUAUAUAUGUUGUUACUUCCUUUAGUGGUGUCAUGUGAACAUUGAUUACAUGUCACUUCACCAUGUUAUGGGCCUAAAAAAAGUCAUUGUCGAGUAACAAAUAGAUGAUGGGUUGUGAGAAUGACGGAUGCUUAAACCACAGUUUAUGCGUUGCUUCAUGAGGGGUGAUUUGGAUCCACAUGUUUCAUGCUAUGGUUAGAUUUAUCUUAAUUCUUCUUUCAUAGUUGAGGAUGCAUGCGAGAGGGGUUAAUCAUAAGUAGGUUGUUAGUUCAAGUAAGAACAACACAUUAGCGUCGGUCCACCAACAUAUCAAAUUAUCAAAGUAACAAACACGAACCAACUCAAUAUGAUGAACAUGACUAGACAAAUAUUCCCAUGUGACCUCGGGAGCACUUGCUUUAUAUAAGAGUACUUUCAGGCAUGUUCUUUGCUAUAAAAAGGAUUGGGCUAUCUUGCUGCACCUUUGUUACUAUUUCUACUUGUCACCGGUUACAAAUUGUCUUGCUACAAAACUAUCUAUCACUGCUAUUCACAGCACUUGCGGAGAAUACCUUGUUGAAUACUACUUAUCAUUUCCUUCCGCUCCACGCUGGGUUCGACACUCUUACUUAUUGAAAGGGCUACGAUUGAUCCCCUAUACUUCUCCAUAGAAUCUUAUAUAUGAUGAUCAACUUGCUUCUUCCCAUACAUAUAUAAUGAUCCAUUUGCUCCAGGAUCCAUUUGCUUCUUCCCCUGUUUUUUUAACUCCUAUAGAAUGAUCAAUCACGGUAUGCAUGAGUAUACAUUAUUCUUCCCAUACUAUUUUGUUAGUUCAACUAAAAGAGACACGACAAUCUUAUAUAUGAAUGGCAUACAUUCCUAGCAUAGCAUUGUAACUAAAACAUUGAAGUCGUGCAUUUUUUGAUAAUGCAUCGUUUGCAUACUACUUCUAUAACCGGGAUGGAAAUUACCAUGAAGUAUUGGUGGCAAUUUGCACUAUAAUUACAUGGCAAAGUUGCACUAUAAUUACAUGGCAAAGUUGCAGUGUCGGUGCAUUUAGCGGCAACUACUUCUAUAACCGGGUGGCCACUACCAGCAAAGUUGGGCGGCAUCCCCCCUCCCUAAUCCCUUGAUGAAAAAAAUAUCCGCUUUGUCUUGCCCCUCCCCCAUACCCACCUGACAAGUUAUUGGACGUACGGGCCGCGGGGUGGUAUACCCAAACCUACGGGAGGUGGGGUGGGACGCAGAACGUAGGCUGUUUUGCGUAAAUGGCACACGAGACGUGCGGCAAUCCAUCCUUAGAGUCCAUACAUGUGGUAAAUACCACGACCUUAAAUUUAAUCAACAUGGACUACUACAACAGAAGCAAAAAAUAUACCAUAGAACUAGUAUUCGAAAGAAGGUUUUUAAUGAUAUAGUUUUAGAGUUUUUAAUGGUAUAAUUUUUUGCUUCCGUCGCAGUUAGUCAUAUUUGCUGAAUUUAUGGUACAUAAAUCUUAAAAAAUAUAAUGCAUUACAUUAUGAAACAAAAGGAGUACUUUUCAUGAUGAUUUGACACCACAUACGUGUAUGAAAGAUUGUAAAUAUGACACCGAUGCCAAGCAUGAUUUACGUCGCCAAUUUGGCAUUUGGCACGCCGUGAAUGCCCUUUUCAGCAGAUGAAUCGAAGGUCUUAAAUGGAGUGCAGAGUACUUGUCAGAAACUGACAAGAUGGAACGAAACAUAUCAGUCAGGACUUUUCCCCACCACCGGUGGGAUAUAACAAAGGUCCUAAAAUCAGCGCACAAUAUUGAAAGGCGAAAAAACGUGAUCUUGCUAACUAUCGGUUCUUUAUCUGCAUUGUACUCUCUCCAUUCCAUAAUAUAAUAAUACAAAAAUUUCUAUGACACUAGUUUCGUGUAGAAAAUGCCUUUGUAUUAUAUGAACGGAAAGGAGUAACUUCUACUAUGUGCCUUUCCACAGGUCUCCCAUCCCUGAACGGGCAAGGAAAAGAUCUAUCGAAGAAACGCGACCGAGUAUCCGUUCGCUUCCCCAAAUACGUUUUUAGGCGAAAAAUAGCGCCUCUUGGGGCAGUCGGUGCUAUUUUCGAUGUACAGGAACUCCGGCUUCCAACGUCUCCAGUUGCCCCUUCCUCCUUCAACCGUCGAGUUCGAACUCUGAUUCGACACAUAGUUCAUAUCAAUACAAAUCAAAUAGUUUAAUGAAGCAAGUUCAUAAUUCAAACACAAUUAAAAUACAUCAAACUUGGCAUUGCCUUUGAGACCUCCAUAGGUGUUUCAUCAGAUCGUGUUGCAAUUUUUGUUGUACCUGUAGGUCUCGGAUCUCUUGACGCACAUUAAGGAAGACAACCCAUAAUUUCAGUACCUGAUGAUCAACAGCUGCAAGAGAACAGACAAAUCACCAAACAUCUAGCGGGCGUGGUGGACGGGUAGCCGCCGGUAUCCUCGCUUGCGUGGUCGGACCUUUGGAAAGCUCGGCGAGUAGCGGGGAUGGAGGCCGUCACGACGAAACUCACUCUUUGCGGUAUGGGAAUGGCCUUUCUAGCUGUGAGACAGCGACCGUGGGCAGGGGAAUGGUGCCGGUAUCAAUAUGACGAUGAAAGGGGAAGUGAUGUUCUACCGCGCGUGGAUCGUAUCUGAAUGGGAAAAGGCAUUUCUUGCGGCCACUUUUCCUUCCAUCGGAGCUUCAAGUGCCCCAACGCUUUGGAUUCGGGCUGAAAUCGCUGGACCGAAAAAUGACCUACGGAAUUUGAGGAUAUUUUUUGCGUCGGCGGAAAAGAAGUCCUCUUGAUGGGUCUGUUGUGGUGCGGGUGGAGAUGCUCUCACCUCGAUCAGCAAUGCUACACAUACAUAAGUUUACAUACUCCCUCCUUUCUGGUUUACAGGGCUCAUCUCAAAAUUUUCAGAUUUCCAUUAUAUUAGGCUCAUUUUAAGUCUAAUAGAGUUAAAGUGCUUUGAGUCCCAUGCCAUAUUUAAUUCAUAGAGUUUGAAGAAAAGAGAUGAGUGGCUAUGUAUGCAUCAUUUUCUACAUCCAUCAUGAAAGUCCAAUGAGAAGGAGAAUGUUACAUUUAUUGCCUUGAAAAUUGAAUAUGUGAGUAAAUAUUUCAUUGGCUAGUUAAAGCUAGUGUCAUCCACUUACAAUUCACCUUGGUUGAUGAGAUUUUAGAUUUGAACCCUAUAAACCGGAAAGGAGGGAGUAGGUUUUACAAAGAAGUGGAUUUUAAUUAAAGAUUAAGGGGAAUGAGGGCUCCACCCUCCCUUGAAAAUCAAAAAAAGUGAUUAGUUAGAAAGAAAAAAUCGUAAUCAACGUGUAAUUUAAGUAACUCUUUGUAUGUCUAACAUUUUUGUGAUCUCGACUUCUCGACUGUGAUAAGACCACCCGUCGGCACGGAUUCACGGACAAUAAAACCAUCCGCCCCAUUCCAAUUCAUCGACAUUGACAUGCCGCCAUACCUGCAUGCAUCAUUGCAUCUCUCCCUCCGCCCGUGACCUGAGAAGGACGGGCCGCAUGUCGCACCUCUACCUAUUCUAUCCUCCUCUCCUGCGCGGACGACGCACCGCCACCCCGUGCAACUCGCCUAUAAGAAGCGGCGUACACAAUGCUAAGCCUAAGCUCACUCCAACAGAGCCACACACGACACAAUCUCCUUAGCAUUACCAGAGCCUCCCAGUUAGCAAUGGCAAAGUGUCUCGCCGUCGCGCUCCUGCUAGUGGUGCUGCUCGCGUCCUGCGACGGGAGGGAGCUGAACGAGAAGGCUGCAGCGACACGCGGUGCCGGUGUCGGCGGCGGCGUCGGCGAGUCCAAGGCUAUGGGGUUGCCGGACUUGCCAGCUGUGACGCUCCCCACGACCCCGACGCUCCCCACGGCACCGACGCUCCCCACACUCCCGACGCUCCCUACGGUCCCGACUCUCCCGCUACUGGGAACCAUUACGGGUACCAGUACCAUUACCGGCCCGGUGGUGGUGCUUCCGGCGGUCCCUGCUCACCCAUGAUUAUCUCUACUUGUACGGUGUACGUGCCUAGAUCAUAGCACCGUUCGCAGGGAAAGACACCGGCGUUGCGUUCAUGUCCAAGGCCCUUCAUUGAUGGGAGUCUGUAUUUAUCUUCAGUUAAAGUUCUUGUAUUGUUCGUUCGUUGAUGUGUUUUUACAUGUAUCAUGGACAUCAUAAAUACUACCGGUACUUUGUCAGCGUGAUCACCUUGUUGGAUAGACGUACGAACAAGUCGCAGCAUCAACGUCCCACUUCGUCACUCUAAUAACAAAGCCCCAAGUCCAGAGUUGUUCAUUUAAAAGAACUACUUCCUCCGAUCUAAAUUAAUCGACGCAACCUCUAUGCAAGCAAGUUAGUUGUCGCAGGGUUUCAUGGCUUGCUUUCUACAUGCGUUUUGCAUGAUUGUGUUUUGUUCUUGACUGGGGGACUAUUUUGAGUAAUGAUAUGUAUCCACGAACUUUACGAGCGUUUUAUGGGGUGAGUUUAAGCUCGCAAGUUGUGUUUCG